rnacentral:rRNA from 1 species
AGUAAUGCUUGGGAAUCUAGCUUAUGGAGGGGGAUAACUACGGGAAACUGUAGCUAUACCGCGUAGAAUCGAGAGAUGAAAGUGUGGGACCUUCGGGCCACAUGCCAUAGGAUGAGCCCAAGUGGGAUUAGGUAGUUGGUGAGGUAAAGGCUCACCAAGCCGACGAUCUCUAGCUGGUCUGAGAGGAUGACCAGCCACACUGGGACUGAGACACGGCCCAG